rnacentral:rRNA from 1 species
UACGUAGGGGGCUAGCGUUGUCCGGAAUCAUUGGGCGUAAAGCGCGUGUAGGCGGUUCGGUAAGUCCGCUGUGAAAGUCGGGGGCUCAACCCUCGGAUGCCGGUGGAUACUGUCGGACUAGAGUACGGAAGAGGCGAGUGGAAUUCCUGGUGUAGCGGUGGAAUGCGCAGAUAUCAGGAGGAACACCGAUGGCGAAGGCAGAUCUCUGGGCCGUAACUGACGCUGAGGAGCGAAAGCGUGGGGAGCGAACAGG